UAUUUACAUUCCUCAUUAUAGGAAUGCAAUACUGAGAUAUCGUUUUAUGCCUACUGGAUUGGCAAGCAAAUGUUACUUUUAAUGACAUUGCUUUUGUGACAUUGAGUAUAAAUUGUGCUCAUGUGUAUUACCUGUAGGAAUUUAAACUGGAGCAAUCUUGCUGCAGAGAAAUCUGUCCCUUGCAAGGUGGCAGAGGAACAUCCUAUUCCGCAAAGCAACCCCACUUUAGAAGUCCUUCCCAGAAGACAUCCCCAAUGUGAUUUUAGGCUCAAGUAGAUUGUUGGUGC
rnacentral:lncRNA from 1 species